rnacentral:misc_RNA from 1 species
GUAUUUUGAAUUGUUUAUUCAUAAUAUUUUUCAGACAAAUUAGUUAAAGAAUGAGUUGAUGUAUAAAAAUCUCGCCAAGAUUGACGAGAUCUAACAUUGCACACAAGGUGGAUAUGGAUUUUUAAAAAGUGCCAUAAAACACUUUAUUAUGAAUGAUCCUUCCGCAGGUUCACCUACGGAAA